rnacentral:rRNA from 1 species
GUGAGGAAUAUUGGUCAAUGGACGGAAGUCUGAACCAGCCAUGCCGCGUGAAGGAUGAAGGCGUUCUGCGUUGUAAACUUCUUUUAUUUAGGAAGAAACCACCGAUUUCUAUUGGUGUUGACGGUAUUAAAUGAAUAAGCACCGGCUAACUCCGUGCCAGCAGCCGCGGUAAUACGGAGGGUGCGAGCGUUAUCCGGAUUUACUGGGUUUAAAGGGUGCGCAGGCGGUCUUAUAAGUCCGGGGUGAAAUACUACAGCUCAACUGUAGAACUGCCUUGGAUACUAUAGGACUUGAAUCGAGUAUAGGUCAGCGGAAUACAACAUGUAGCGGUGAAAUGCAUAGAUAUGUUGUGGAACACCGAUUGCGAAGGCAGCUGACUGGGCUUGAAUUGACGCUCAGGCACGAAAGCGUGGGGAGCAAACAGGAUUAGAUACCCGAGUAGUCC